rnacentral:misc_RNA from 1 species
AAAUAUAUUAAAAUUAUUUGAAUUUCAGAAGAUCAGGAUGAUGGACAGAGUGAAGAUGGAAGUUUUCAUGAUGGAGAUGGUGAUGUAGAUGCUGAUAUGUUUAGCUUGAGCCAGAGUCAACCUAUAGAUGAGGAGAAUGAUGAAGUAGAUGAUGUUGAAGGAAUAGUAUCCACUAGUGAAGAAGAAGUAGGUCAUCUUUUUGAUGAAAAUCAGGAUGUUGCAAUUGUAACAUCUGCACCAAAGCAUAUAUCAUGUCAGGAAGAUGAAGAUUUUAUGACUGCUUUUGAUAAAAUGUUAUCUGAAAGCAUUUUACAUCGCAGUCAAGAUUCUAUCAAGCCACAAUCUGAUAUUGUUAUUCCUAUGAAUAUAAAAGGUGGCACAGGAAAAAAAUCAGGAGGAAUAUUGCUGAAUUUGAAGCCUGAAGAUGAAAAUAACAGAGAAAAUAGUACAAUGAAUUUUGUAUUGAUGACCAGAAGAGGAAACAAGCAACAGUUCAAAAGCUUGGAAGUACCUGUAACUUCAGAAUUAGCCCAAAAUUUGAAAGACAGGGAAGAGGCUGAAAGAGCGGAGAAAGAACAAGUUAAAAAAUUAACUUUAGAUAUUAAUGAGAGACAAGAAGAAGAAGACUAUCAAGAGAUGUUAGCUGCACAGCAGAGACCUGCAGUCAUGAAUCUGAACAGGGACAGGCGUCAAAAGUAUCAUCAUCCCAAAGGUGCACCAGAUGCCGACUUGAUAUUUGGAAACAAGUAAGAUAUCGAUGCGCCCGUGUACCGUGUCGGUAUAGGAAUAUCUCAACGUACAAAAAAUUGUGCAAAGGGACAAUGAUUUUUACAAAAGUAAUAAAAAAAUGCGUAUUUAUUUUAAAAGAAAGCACUGACGGGUUAACUGAAAGAAUAAACUCGAUACAGUCCGAGAGAAUGUUCUCGUCUCUCGGUCGGUUCUACCGUCCUAGUGAAUGCCGAAGGAUUUCGUCAGUUACGAGUCGACAGAAAUGAGCGAGAUAACUACAAAUACUCUAUUUAUACUUUUAAAGUGUUUUUGCACCCAAAGUUUCUGUAUGUUUAAAUGGACAGAAAAAUAAAGCUAUUUAUGUUGUAUGGCA